GAUGAACGCUGGCGGCGUGCUUAACACAUGCAAGUCGAACGAUGAAGCCCAGCUUGCUGGGUGGAUUAGUGGCGAACGGGUGAGUAACACGUGAGUAACCUGCCCUUAACUCUGGGAUAAGCCUGGGAAACUGGGUCUAAUACUGGAUAGGAGCGCCUACCGCAUGGUGGGUGUUGGAAAGAUUUAUCGGUUUUGGAUGGACUCGCGGCCUAUCAGCUUGUCGGUGAGGUAAUGGCUCACCAAGGCGACGACGGGUAGCCGGCCUGAGAGGGUGACCGGCCACACUGGGACUGAGACACGGCCCAGACUCCUACGGGAGGCAGCAGUGGGGAAUAUUGCACAAUGGGCGAAAGCCUGAUGCAGCGACGCCGCGUGAGGGAUGACGGCCUUCGGGUUGUAAACCUCUUUCAGUAGGGAAGAAGCGAAAGUGACGGUACCUGCAGAAGAAGCACCGGCUAACUACGUG
rnacentral:rRNA from 1 species